rnacentral:misc_RNA from 1 species
CCCUUCCACGUGAACCGUUUUGUUUUGCUUUCGAGUGCUUUGUUGCGCUCGGAGCAUGUUUGGGCUUCGCUGCUGGCGCUUGAUUGUGCUGGCGGCUCGAGGCCAUCAAGCGGCGUUUUGAGUGUGCUUGCGCAAUUGAAACGUCCAAACCUUUUAAACCCAUUUGAUUGCAAACUGAAGUAUACUGUGGGGACGAAAGUCCUCGCUUUGAAACUAGAUAACAACUUUCAGCAGUGGAUGUCUAGGCUCGCACAUCGAUGAAGAACGCUGCGAACUGCGAUACGUAAUGCGAAUUGCAGGAUUCAGUGAGUCAUCGAACUUUUGAACGCAUAUUGCACUUUCGGGUUACGCCUGGAAGUAUGUCUGUAUCAGUGUCCGUACACUAAACUUGCGUCUCUUCCGUCGUGUAGUCGUCGGUUGUUUUGAUUGCAGAUGUGAGGUUGUCUCGCGAUCCGUUGCUUGUCGACAGGGUUGCGAGUCCCUUUAAAGUCGGACGCGUGUUUUUU